CAGUGAAAAGCCAAAUCAGAGGCAUUUAACUGUUAAUUAAAAAAUUGUAAUGAUAUUUACUUCGCUGG
rnacentral:tRNA from 1 species